rnacentral:rRNA from 1 species
AGCGCGGGAAGCGAGUGGAUCCCUUCGGGGUGAAGCUCGUGGAACGAGCGGCGGACGGGUGAGUAACACGUGGGCAACCUGCCUGUAAGACCGGAAUAACCCCGGGAAACCGGGGCUAAUGCCGGGUAAUACUUUUCUUCGCAUGAAGGAAAGUUGAAAGAUGGCUUCUUGCUAUCACUUACAGAUGGGCCCGCGGCGCAUUAGCUAGUUGGUGAGGUAACGGCUCACCAAGGCGACGAUGCGUAGCCGACCUGAGAGGGUGAUCGGCCACACUGGGACUGAGACACGGCCCAGACUCCUACGGGAGGCAGCAGUAGGGAAUCUUCCGCAAUGGACGAAAGUCUGACGGAGCAACGCCGCGUGAACGAUGAAGGUCUUCGGAUCGUAAAGUUCUGUUGUUAGGGAAGAACAAGUACCGUGCGAAUAGAGCGGUACCUUGACGGUACCUAACGAGGAAGCCCCGGCUAACUACGUGCCAGCAGCCGCGGUAAUACGUAGGGGGCAAGCGUUGUCCGGAAUUAUUGGGCGUAAAGCGCGCGCAGGCGGUUCCUUAAGUCUGAUGUGAAAGCCCACGGCUCAACCGUGGAGGGUCAUUGGAAACUGGGGAACUUGAGGACAGAAGAGGAGAGUGGAAUUCCACGUGUAGCGGUGAAAUGCGUAGAUAUGUGGAGGAACACCAGUGGCGAAGGCGACUCUCUGG